UCCCUGGUGGCUCAGACGGUAAAGCGUCUGCCCGCGAUGCAGGAGACCCAGGUUCAAUCCCUGGGUUGGGAA
rfam:Ovis aries breed Texel chromosome 18, whole genome shotgun sequence.